rnacentral:rRNA from 1 species
UGCGGGGGGGGCAAGCGUUGUUCGGAAUUACUGGGCGUAAAGGGCUCGUAGGCGGCCAACUAAGUCGGACGUGAAAUCCCUCGGCUUAACCGGGGAACUGCGUCCGAUACUGGAUGGCUUGAGUUUGGGAGAGGGAUGCGGAAUUCCAGGUGUAGCGGUGAAAUGCGUAGAUAUCUGGAGGAACACCGGUGGCGAAGGCGGCAUCCUGGACCAACACUGACGCUGAGGAGCGAAAGCCAGGGGAGCAAACGGG